AUUGAACGCUGGCGGCAGGCUUAACACAUGCAAGUCGAGCGGGGAAAGGUAGCUUGCUACCUGACCUAGCGGCGGACGGGUGAGUAAUGCUUAGGAGUCUGCCUAUUAGUGGGGGACAACGUUCCGAAAGGAACGCUAAUACCGCAUACGUCCUACGGGGGAAAGCAGGGGAUCUUCGGACCUUGCGCUAAUAGAUGAGCCUAGGUCGGAUUAGCUAGUUGGUGGGGUAAAGGCCUACCAAGGCGACGAUCUGUAGCGGGUCUGAGAGGAUGAUCCGCCACACUGGGACUGAGACACGGCCCAGACUCCUACGGGAGGCAGCAGUGGGGAAUAUUGGACAAUGGGCGCAAGCCUGAUCCAGCCAUGCCGCGUGUGUGAAGAAGGCCUUUUGGUUGUAAAGCACUUUAAGCGAGGAGGAGGCUCCUUUAGUUAAUACCUAAAGUGAGUGGACGUUACUCGCAGAAUAAGCACCGGCUAACUCUGUGCCAGCCGCCGCCGUAAAAC
rnacentral:rRNA from 1 species